UACGGAGGGUGCAAGCGUUAUCCGGAUUCACUGGGUUUAAAGGGUGCGUAGGCGGCUAUAUAAGUCAGUGGUGAAAGCCCGCAGCUCAACUGCGGAACUGCCAUUGAAACUGCAUAGCUUGAAUCUGGUUGAAGUGGGCGGAAUACAUCAUGUAGCGGUGAAAUGCUUAGAUAUGAUGUAGAACACCGAUUGCGAAGGCAGCUCACUAAGCCAACAUUGACACUGAGGCACGAAAGCGUGGGUAGCGAACAGG
rnacentral:rRNA from 1 species